AAAGGUAGCAUAAUCAAUUGGCUUAUAAUUGAAGUCUAGUAUGAAUGGGAAUCCGGGAAAUAUCUGUCUCAUUUUUAGAUUAUAUAAAUUACUAAUUGAGUGAAAAUUCUCAUACAAAAAAGAAAGACGAGAAGACCCUAGAAAUUUUGUAGUUAAAUUAUAUAUAUUAUUUUGUUGGGGCGACAUAGUAACACAUAACUUACUAUUAAUACAAGCUGCUAGUAAGAUGAAAGAGUAAAUUACUCUAGGGAUAACAGCAUUAUUCAAAAUGAGUUUGUGACCUCGAUGUUGGACUAGGAAAUGAUUUCUUUAGAAGAGAAAUUAUAUAGCUCUGUUCGAGCUCAUUUCUCCUACAU
rnacentral:rRNA from 1 species